ACAUUAAAAACAACAGCAUUUAUUUGAAAUAUAAUAGUUUCUGUAACAUUAUAAAUGUCUAUACUGUCAGUUUUGAUCAAUUUAAUGCAUUCUUGACUAAGAAGUAUUAAUUUCUUAAUAAAAUACUAAAUACUUAUUAUCCAAAACUUGGUCAUGUAUCACAGUUUCCACAAAAUAUUAAGCUGUUUUAACAUAUUAAGCUGCUGUAAUUGCUCUGUUUCAGAUAAAACAUCAAUAACAGGAGGUGUCAUCAUUUUGAUCAUCAUCCUGCUCCUGAUUUUUUCUCUGCUUGGCAUUUUGUACUAUCUGAGAAAGAAAGCAAGGAGUUACUCAUUUGAUCUGACUCACGUCGACGUAGCUGCCAAUGAUUACACUGACACCCCGCUCAGGAGCGACCAACAAGGCAUAAGCUAUGAACAAACUAACAAAGAUCUGCCUGUGUGUUCAGACUAUGUACAAGAGGACAAGACUACAGAGGAGAAGACUAAUCCCAUCGCAAAUGGGUCUUGUGGAGAGAAAACUGAACAAGCACCCACCAAUGACAACGAGCAGGGAGCAGCAGAAGAGAUCUUCACUGAAAUCAGUCUAGAUGAGCCAAACUAGCAUGCAUAGUGUGUGUUUCCAG
ensembl:lncRNA